CCCUUAGAUGUUCUGGGCUGCACGCGCGCUACACUGAUGCACUCAACGAGUUUACGACCUUGCCCGAUAGGGUUGGGUAAUCUUUUUAAAAUGCAUCGUGCUGGGGAUAGAUUAUUGCAAUUAUUAAUCUUCAACGAGGAAUUCCUAGUAAGCGCGAGUCAUCAGCUCGUGCUGAUUACGUCCCUGCCCUUUGUACACACCGCCCGUCGCUCCUACCGAUUGAGUGCUCAGGUGAAUAAUUCGGACUGCAGCAAUGUUUGGAUCCCGAACGUUGCAGCGGAAAGUUUAGUGAACCUUAUCACUUAGAGGAAGGAGAAGUCGUAACA
rnacentral:rRNA from 1 species